GACAGAGGGUGCAAACGUUGUUCGGAAUUACUGGGCGUAAAGCGUGUGUAGGCGGCUUUGCAAGUCGGAUGUGAAAGCCCAGGGCUCAACCUUGGAAUUGCCUUUGAUACUGGCUGUCUUGAGUUCGGGAGAGGUGAGUGGAAUGCCGAGUGUAGAGGUGAAAUUCGUAGAUAUUCGCAAGAACACCAGUGGCGAAGGCGGCUCACUGGCCCGAUACUGACGCUGAGGCACGAAAGCGUGGGGAGCAAACAGG
rnacentral:rRNA from 1 species